GGGGCUGAACUGGUAUCGACUCUGAUUGAUCGAGGUAGGAGAAGCGAGCCGAGGUUCCGGGUCACCUCGCUAAACCGCUCGGAAAAACAACAACUGCUGACUCUAACGAGUACGCACUCGCU
rnacentral:tmRNA from 1 species